ensembl:lncRNA
AGGAGUUAAUGUUUGGAUGCAGGAAGGAGCAGUGGUUCCCUGCUACCAACCGCACACCCUCAGCAUCCGCCUCACUCCUCAAGGACAUAGAAAGAAAGGGAAAGAACAUCCUCUGCAGUCAGUGACUGUAUAAUGGACAAGACCCUGCCCAGCUGCGUGCCUUCCCAUCAGACACCCAGGCUUGGAGAGCAGGCUGGACCAGCUGUCAGCUGCCUGAUGAGGGAGAUGGAGACGAGCAAGAGAGAAAGCCUCGUCAGGAGAGGUCUGCAGUGGCUGACCAGCUGAAGGGGGAAGCUCAGGCUGUCUGUGAGUGAGUGCUCCACAUGUUUUUCUUGCCACCUUUCUCCUGAGCACAGUUCUUGUGGCGACAGGUGGUAUGGAUUCU